rnacentral:rRNA from 1 species
UACGUAGGCAGCAAGCGUUGUUCGGAGUUACUGGGCGUAAAGGGUGUGUAGGCGGUUUUCUAAGUCUGGUGUGAAAUCUCCCGGCUCAACUGGGAGGGUGCGCCGAAAACUGGAAGGCUAGAGUGCGGGAGAGGUAAGCGGAAUUCCUGGUGUAGCGGUGAAAUGCGUAGAUAUCAGGAGGAACACCUGCGGUGUAGACAGCUUACUGGACCACGACUGACGCUGAGACACGAAAGCGUGGGUAGCAAACAGG